rnacentral:misc_RNA from 1 species
GGUUUUUUUGGGUGUAUUCUUUUUAUUUGAUUGCUUUUGAUAAAGCUAAUUAGAAAAUAUCACCUAAUUGAUGUCCACUGGUACUCAUACCUGAGUUGGGUUGUGAUCUUUUUCUUCUGCUGUCAUUGUUCUGUUGGAAGGUUGUCUACUCUUGUUCAGUACUUGAAAAUCACAUAUGCUUUGUCAUUAAAUAUGGAACCAUUGUAAAUUGAGUGCUUUUGUUGCAGGUGGA